UCGGCCCCGGUAGCGGGUACAGCCGGUCAGGUCUGGUUCUCCCCCCACCCCACCCCCCGCUUUCUCCCCAUCACCCCCACGAAGUGCGGCCUGCGACCCUCAGCCCUGGAGAAGCGGGGCGCGCCCGGAGGAAAAGCAACCCGCCCAGCGCCACACAGCGAGGAGCGGCAAAGGCCGGGGGUGAGCCGGGGAGGGGCCCUGGACCUCUGGGGUCUCUCACAAACAAUACGCCUCAGGAAAUGUCGGCAGGCCGCGCCGACGAGGUCUGCCUCGCUCCCGCUCCUCCGGGCCCCCACCCGCCGCGUGCACCGGCUCCCUCAGAACGCCGGGGAGGCUGCCGGGCGGCGCGGGGGGCGCUCGGCCGCGGCCGCUCCGCGCCGGGCCCAGUCCCGCCGGCGAGGCGCUCGCGACCGCGUGGGGCGGAGGAAGCCGAGCCGCCACCGCCGAGGCGCCCUGGGGCUUCCGGGAGUCCCAUCGGCGCGGAACCGGAGGCCGCGGCGCGCUGGCCCCCAAAAGGACGCUCUCCAAGUCCCCUGCGGGGGGCCCCGCGUAGACCUGGAGCGGACACCCCCUCCUUCCCUUCAUGAUUCGUUUGUAGCACAGGUAACCUGGGAGGAGCCGGCUGCCUUCUGCCCCAGCUGGCCCUGGGAGGGAGGGGCAGGGAGGGUGAUGCUUCCGCAGGGCCCGGCCCCUCCUGCCCCUCCUUCCCUGGCCAGGCCUGGCCCGCAUCCUCCCUGCUGUUCCUUUUCUCCAAAUCUUUGCAGAUUGUGUCCUUUUCCACCACUGGCUGGGGGGGGGCGGGGUCUAAAGGUGACCCCCCCCACCCCUACCCCCCCCCGCCAAGGAGCACAGGCGGGUGGCGUGGGGUCUGGGGCUGGAGAGAACAGGGCCUCAGAUGCAGCCAGGAUGGGGUGUAUACAGGGAAGGGGAGCGAGAUUGGUGUAGGGAACCCGGGGUCCCUGGUUUCCAUCGGGUCCCCCACCUGCUGAGCAUGGGGGCAGGGGCUGGGGUAAGUGGGGUGGGGUGUUAGGCGGGUGUUGGGGGGGCGGGGAACCAGCCAAGGGUACAUGUGAGAUCUGGUGUGUGUUGGGGGGGGAUCCUCAGCUGUCAGGCCUCGUUCUCCUUGUGCCCCGCCUUCAGUGUCAGGUCAAGCUUGGCCCAGGGAGUGCCGGGCAGCGGCAGCAUGGUGUUGGCAGCUUGGGUGUUGGGAAAAGGGGAGAGGUGGGGGGUGGGAGCCAGGCUGGAUGGACGCUGUUUGUUUGAGGCUCCAGUGGGCUGGGUGUGGGUGGAUUCCUGGUUUGAGGGACAGGCUGGUGCUGCCCCGUCCCUGCCCUGCGGAAGGGGACCAAGCUCAGCAAGUGGUGGCCAUCCUCACCCUCACCGUGCCCACCAAUGACGCAGCCUCUCCCGAGUCCUCUCCCUUCCUCGGCCCGGGGCUCCUUGCCCCUGCCCUCCUCUGAGAACCUGCCUUCCAGCCCUCCAUCUGUGGGACAGACCCUUGCACCUCAAGAUUCUGGGCCUGACCCUGUGUUCAGGGAGACAGAACAGCGUGGAAGCGGAAAGCCAGGCUUGGGGCCUGUACUGCCAGGGUUUAAGGCCCGGCUCUGCCGCCUGCCUGCUGGGAGCCCUACAGCCGAGUGGGCACACAGCACUUAGCUCAGGGCCCACACACAGCCAGGGCUCCUUAUCACUUUCGUCAUCGUCAUCGUCAUCAUCGGAUGAUGAUGGGGUUUGGGGGGGGGGGGCUGUCUCCGGCAAGCGUCUCUGUCUGGGAGGGUACCUGGGCAGUGCUCCCUCACCCCCACAUGGCCCCAUGGGUGCUCCCCUGAUUCUGGCAAGCCCCAGGGUCUAACCUUGUCUCCCUCGCCCUCUUCCUGCCCCACCCCAUCCAGUGGCGAUGGAUGAUGAGGACGGGAGAUGCUUACUGGACGUGAUUUGGUGAGUA
rnacentral:lncRNA from 1 species